rnacentral:lncRNA from 1 species
UGCAGCGCUAGUUGCGCCUGCUAGGGGGCCGGUACAGUUGACAGAGGCCGAGCAGGAGCGGUGGACAGAGAGGUUGGCCCGUUUCCGCCUUUUCGAUCCGCCGAUCUUUGAUGACAGUUGUACUGAGGCCUGGGUUGUUGAGAGAUGGGUCAGUGCGAUGGAAAAGUUAUUUGAGGAUUUGUUUAUUCCCGAGGGGGAGCAGGUGUCUUUCGGAGUCCAUUGCUUGGCAGGUGAUGUCCAUGCCUGGUGGAGGAGAGUGAGGAGAGAGCAGGAACUGGUAGCUUUGCAGCUGAGAUGGGAUGAGUUCUGUGGAAUGCUGUUUGGGAUGUUCUUUCCCAACAGUGUGAAACAGAAGCUCGAAGAGGAUUUAAAGAGGAUUCAGCAGGGAG